rnacentral:rRNA from 1 species
CCUGACGCAGCAACGCCGCGUGAGUGAUGAAGGCUUUCGGGUCGUAAAGCUCUGUCGAGGGGAAAGAAGUGUAUUGCGGUUAAUACCCGUGAUACUUGACGGUACCCCUAAAGGAAGCACCGGCUAACUCCGUGCCAGCAGCCGCGGUAAUACGGGGGGUGCAAGCGUUGUUCGGAAUUAUUGGGCGUAAAGCGCGUGUAGGCGGUUUGAUUAGUCUGAUGUGAAAGCACUGGGCUCAACCCAGGAAGUGCAUUGGAUACUGUCAGACUUGAAUACGGGAGAGGGUAGUGGAAUUCCUAGUGUAGGAGUGAAAUCCGUAGAUAUUAGGAGGAACACCGGUGGCGAAGGCGGCUACCUGGACCGAUAUUGACGCUGAGACGCGAAAGCGUGGGUAGCAAACAGGAUUAGAUACCCUGGUAGUCCACGCCGUAAACGAUGAGAACUAGGUGUUGCGGGUAUUGACCCCUGCAGUGCCGCAGCUAACGCAUUAAGUUCUCCGCCUGGGAAGUACGGUCGCAAGACUAAAACUCAAAGGAAUUGACGGGGGCCCGCACAAGCGGUGGAGCAUGUGGUUUAAUUCGACGCAACGCGCAGAACCUUACUGGUCUUGACAUCUAGGAACCCUCCGAAAAGAAGGGUGC